rnacentral:lncRNA from 1 species
CGAGGGGGGAUGAUCCCGAUACCCUGGACUUUGCUAGGACUAACCUUGCCUAGGACGUGGCGGAGGACAAGAAAGAUCAUGCUGAGCUACGGCAGUCAUCCUCUCGGAUUUCUGAGUUGUUAUUUGUAAGUAUGCUGACCAACCCAGAGAACCUAUAUCUUAAAUCCCGUUCCUUUGCAAUGCUCUGAUCUUUAGAGUGUAAACAAAAUCUGGCCAUGCAUGCUCAUAAGAGGGAAGACGCAAUUCACCAAGCUGAGGAGUAUUGCCUUAAGGCACAACUUGAGGCUGACCUCAAGAGGGCCAAAGAGGAUGUCGU